GAACAAUCAAGCAUAAUGGCAAGAUCAAGCUUGGUGUCAGGCUGUAUGACUUGUAAUUCUGUGAAAUUAUAAAACUUGUGAACAAAAGGGAAUGAGAAAUAUGUAACUGUGGAAGAUUCUCAGGCUGAUGGAGUGAGUGACAGAGUGGGUUGCCAACUCGAGUGACUCCACUCAGCGUACACAGUGGCUACGGGGGAUAGAUUCAGACAUGCCCAAAGAAGUCUGCCCAGGGGGAGACUCAUACCUUUGAGGUUUAAAUCAGGUGUGUGAAGAAUGCUGGAAACAUGACUUUCUGGAGUUUGGUCUGGGUUGGUUUGGUUUUUUUGUUUUUGUUUUUCAAGGAAAGUGGGAAGCUUGGUGGCUCUUGCCUGUUCUUCCAACUCUUUCAGAGCCAUAAAAUACUUCCAAAGUGUAAUGUACUCUCUCUCCUAGGGUUUGGUCUACUCUAUUCCACUGCUUGAAAGGGUCAUCCUAUAUUUUUAUCAAAACUUUAGGUGUUUAAAGACAUGAUGUGGUUUUUCAUAUGCAAAAAGAGUUUUGAUUUUGGAGACAUUUUUAAAUUGGGGAUUGAGGUAUACUGAUCUGUCUCUUACCAUGUGUCUAUUUCCUUAGAAAAAAUAAGUACAAUUUGUCAUACACAAGUUAGCUACCACAUACCUGAAGAAAUUAUGUGCAGAUUAUCUUUAAAAGUAGGUGUUGACGUUAUCUUUAAAAAGUUGUUAAAUAGCUCCAAAAUAUUGAGCAAAUGUAAUGUUUCUUUUGAAAAUACAACCCACAUUUCCUUGCAGGAUGAAGUUAUGCUUAAUAGCCUCUGUUUAAUUCAUUCAGAAACUACACGAUUCUUGUUGCUAUAUUUUGUUAAAAAGGAAGGAGAGGCUGUUUCUACAGGUGUUACAGAAAAAUCAAUACUGAGCCACGGAUUAUUGGAUCCCAUAGAACCAUGGAGACUUGGCAGUGAAAUUCUUCCAAAGGCAGACGGUGUUCCUAGGUUUGGAAGUAUAAAUCCCAGGGGAAGUGAGCUGAAGAACAUUUCAUGCAUCACUCAUCCUAUUAUGAGCCCUGUGCUGUUCCAUCUCUCUACAAGACUGGCAGAAACAACAACAAAAACUGUUUAUAAUUUACAUUCUAACUUUGGAUCACCUAGCUCAAACCCUGACUCUGACUACCCAGAGAGACAAGGCUUUGAAGGAAGAAGUAGCUAUUAG
rnacentral:lncRNA from 1 species